rnacentral:rRNA from 1 species
AGUUGCGAUCAUACCAGCACUAAAACACCGGAUCCCAUCAAAACUCCGAGUUAAGCGUGCUUGCCGAGUGUAGUUCUAGGAUGGGUGACCCCUUGGGAAGUCGUGUUGCAUCCC